UGUGGGGGGCUUUUUGAGAGAUUCCUUUUUGAUUCAGAUUCCUUUUUAAGACUACCUUUGCUUUUGUGUGCCAAUUGUCUGCUACCACAUGUUGUUGUCUGUUUAUGUUUUGUUUUUGGUACUUUUCUGUUGUAGGUUGCAGGUGGUCAAGCAGUUUCCUUGUUUUAACGCGUUUUUAGAUGGUUAGUCCAGAGCAGGAAGAAGUUUGCUGGAAGACUCACUCAUUUUGCUUUGCCUGGGUAGUGAGGUUUAGAAUGGUGAAAAUUGGGAAAUACUGGGCCUGAUCCCCAGAAAAACCAGGACGUGAGGUAAAAACACUCAUCAGUGGAAAGUAAAAAUACACAAAAACAGAAGCAAGGAAAACAUCCCUGUAUGUUCCACUUCACCCAGAGCAGCUGCACACAGCUGCCAGAGGCCAGAGAGGGUGGAGCUGGGCCUGGGAGACCAAUGAACUGAGAAGCAAAUCAGACUGGAGACCAAUCAGAUCCUCAGUUUCCUCUGCAUUCAGACUGCUAUGUCUCUACUGCUGAAGGGACAGGAAACACUGCUCUGCUCUCCAGGCUGUUCCCAGGUCUGUGGUUCUGGGGUUCUGUGGGACUUCCUGUUUGAAAUGCUCAUGGGGAUUUCCCAUAAUUCACGGCCCCCUCCAACGGACAGUGCCAACCUGCUGGACCAAACAGUUUGCUUCUGCUAAUUUUAUGGGACAUCUUUUCUUCAACCUUUGUUGUUAUGUCCAAUGGACCUUUUUUAUCUAUAAAUCAAUCCUCAGUAUUUGGAAUAGGAUGUUAUUUGGCAAAACUGAGCAUGUGGAAAACGUAAACCGCGGCGACAUUUUAAU